UUCUGUCUCACAUGAGGAGCUAAAUUCAUUGGAUUGUCUCCAUAUCUCCAGGUUGAAUUUUGAUCCUGUCUUUGGGAUUAUGUGCAAAGUGAGAUUACAUCAACAGGUGCAGGUCCUUAACCUGGUAACCCCAUGAAUGAUGAUUCACUCUUUUCCCUCAUAACCGGCACACCUUUUCCCUGAGGAACACCAUGACAAAACACCAGCAUGUCACAGUUGUUGCUUUGUAAAGAGAGCCCAUCUCCAUCCGUUUAAUCAACAGCAGGUGUUCCUUUAAGCCUGGUUAAGUGACCCUUGCUGCUCCAAAGGUGCAUGACGGCCUGACUUUAUAAGGCACUUCCUAUGUGUGCGUACGAUGACAUCAUUUCAACAAAAUCUACUGUAAACGUGCACAAUCACUGGGACGAGAUCUCUUCAUCUCACAUGCACAUGGGCAUCUGGAUAAGACUGAAUCAGAGGUAUAUUAUAUAUGAUAUACAGCAGCUGUUAUCCAUCCCUGCAGAGAUCAUAAUAAAGAAGCAUCACCCAUAUCCAUCUAGCUUGCAGACAAUAUGGGCUCCAGCA